rnacentral:lncRNA from 1 species
AACAAUAGAACCAAAAACCUAAUUCACUCUCCAGUUGAACAAAAAACAAUAAACAUUGAAUCCUAACUCCCUGUUUGGUGCUGCAUCACCGACAGUGCGAGUGUGUCAACGACAGCCCGUCGUUUUCCUAUGUGUGUUCUCUUCUCUUCGAUUCAUAAUCGAUUUUACAAUCGGAUCGAUUUACCUAUUGAAUCGACUUCGCUGCCGAAAAAACCUAACUCGCUACUGCGUCAACGGCAGUACGAGUGCGUCAACGACAACCCAUCUUUUUCCAUGUAAGUUAUCUUCUCUUAAAUUUACAAUCAAUAUACAGUAAAUUAACUUAUCUUUUUCCAUUUGAUUUACAAUAGAUUUUGUAUUGAUGUUGGUUGAUUCAUUUAUAGUAAAUCAGUUCCUAACUUACUGUUGCGUCAACAGCCUGCCGUAGUGCCCGUCCAUCUUCUUCCCCUGUUAACUUCUUUUUUUUCCUUGUUAAAUCAGUCGCUUGCACUCGAUUUACAGUAGAUGUUUGAUUGAUUCUUGUAGAUGUAUUUACACUAGAUUAUGUGUACAUUAUUGUGCUAAAAGGCAUGUUAUUAUUUGGAUAUAAAAAAUUUUCAUCUUUAUCCUUCAUCGCUAUUGUUUGAGUUUUACUCCUUCUAUUUUUAUUAAUUUGUUGUAUUUAGGCUUACCUUGGAUACUUCUUGAUUGUACAUUUCCCUCACUGUUGUUGAUGUUGCAAAGAUUGUGAAAAUUUUUAGAAGUACAAGACAUACUAGCAUGUGUUGAGCAUUUCGAUGAUAGCCUGCGUAGGAGUUCCUUCUUGUAAACAAGGAAAGAAAGUAGCUGACAAAUUCAAAUAUAUUAGCUAUGUGGUAUUUAAGUGUUUCUUUUUUGAUAGGUUUUCAGUUUUAUGUUUUGGCUCCAAAGUCCAGUACCCAUCUUUUGGCUGCCAAGUCCAGUUACCUCAUGAGAUUUCCACGCUCAAAAUUCUGGGUAGCCAUCUCUUGUGUUUCAAAUCUUGUGAUACACCUGUUGUGGCUGAAAUGCUUGUUGUUUGUACCACGAUAUCCAACACAUUAGAGUAUUGGAUCUUCAGCAUUUUGGUUCCUAUGUGUGAGGGCCAAGUCAAGACUGUCCAGUUCCAGCUUCUCCCUUUCAAACGUUGAUUCCAAGCUUGAUUUGUUCAUAUAUGGUGCAGCCAUGUAGACAGAUGGCCUAAACAAUAGUUCCAGUAACACCAUCUCCCUUGCCAAGUUCCUGUCCUUUUCUGUUAGCAAUAGGUUUAGAAGUUAUUUUAGUAACCUAUUGAUCCUUGGCUUUUCCUUGGUUGUUAGUUAUUAUAGUUAGAAAGCCUUUCAGAGAUUCUGUUUUUGUGUUGACACUGUCACAUUUAUUGAAGGAUCUUGUUUAAAAGUUCACUUCAUUUGUACUUGAGUUGUAACCUAUUCUUCCAUGGAGUGAUAUCCAAAAUAUGUGAGAAACUACCAUUUUCCCAACUAUACCAUCCGGUCGACUUAAUCGUUUUCACGUAACUUUCUUGCCAACUUUACUUGAUACUUAAUUUCUUCCUAUUUGAACUAUAGGGCAUUAUUUUGUGAAUUUAUUUAUGUUAUGCUUUGAUAUACAUGUUUGGUUUCAACAAAUUAGACAAGAUUUUUGUAGGACAACUCCCGAGGCAAUCAUUUUGAAGCUCGUUGCAGUACUUUAAUUUUUUCAAUAUGUGAUGACGUGACAGUUAAUAGGCUUAUAUAACGUGUGUUCUGGUUCCGCUAGUUUGAACUAGAGUGCCUCAUGGAAAUAAUUACUACAGAUAUCAAUUGGAAUAGCUGGGAUUAGAAAAUCUUGUUAGUACAUUACUAUUCAUAGCUUCUUGAUUCUUUAAGAGAUCACAUCCACGAUCUUCUCUACUGGUUCUAUAAUGUUAAAUAAAUUUGGAAAAAGUUUCGCUCCUGACUAUAAUCCAUGUAGCUUGCAUUAUGAUACUUGAAUCCUGCUAGUUCCAUCAUGUCGAGGCCAUUAUUUAGCUAUGUAUCUCAGAACUCUUUUAUGUUUUAACACCAGACCAAUGAGCCUCCAGAGGUUGCUGCAUAAAUUGACAAAGGAGAUUUACAGCAUGUGCAAUUUCAGGUCGAGCGUUAAAUAUUAUAGUGCUCCACAAUACUUCUAUAUUCAGAGGGUUGACAAGAGAGCCGACUGAUUGUGAAGUUGAUGUUUCUAGGAAAGAGAUGUAUAGAUUGCUCUUGCGCAUGCAUUAUACAUGGGUGUAUUAUACAUCUCAUAGUAAAGAGUCCUACUAGCUAUCUAUUUUCAAUUAGGCAAAUUGUGUUUUUUGUUUUGGUAA